rnacentral:tRNA from 1 species
GGUCCAAUAGUGUAGUGGUCAGCACUCUGGACUUUGAAUCCAGCAACUCGGGUUCAAAUCCCGAUUGGACCU